CUUUUUUAAAAUGUUGUGUACGUCGAAAAGAAGGUGAAAGCAAUUUGCCCAUAAUAUUUAUUAUUUUGAUUCUGAUUGGCUGUCAAAGAUUUGUGUCGGCAAAAAUCUCCAAGGAUCGCUGAUAAAGUUCAAAUCCUUUGGCGAUAUACGCAUGCUCACAUCACAAUCCUUAGAGUCCGAGCGGCUGAAAUUCGCCUAACGAAGAUCAGCCUUAACGUAUGUGCAACAUUCCUCCGCCCUUGAAAGAACAUAACAUAAAAGAAUCUGCAAAACAUAUGUACUUUCUCUCCAUUGCCAGCAUUCGCCGCAGUAGUUGAAAUAACUUUAACUACCACAACAAAUUGAAAUUUAUCAACCAAUUAGAUUUCGAAAUACGUUUUCCAAAUGAGUUUUAGAAGAAAAGUUGAUGAUAAAGAAUAACUUUGUGUACAAUAUUUAAGGUAAACAAUGGAUAUCUUAUUAUUGAGUAUAAAAUUGAGUGUAAUGAGAAAAGAAAAGUGCUCAAAUGGAGUAAACUAACAAACUGGUGGUAUCAAACUAAAUAGUGUCUCUUCAUUUAUGCAAGUUUAAUUUUUUACGCUUAUACGUUAUCGGGGAAAAAUAGUCGGAGAAAAGUAACUAAAUUUUUUGCAAGUAACUUAAUUUUUCCUCGACCAAAAUUUCUCCCGAUUAUUUUUUCCCCGACUAGUACUUUUACCCGAUUUUUUAUACCCGACUAAGAAUUUACCCCGACCUUUUUCUGUUAUCCUAAACCUUUUUUUUUAUUGUUACCACCAUCAUAAAUAGCAAGGAAGAUUACAAAAAAGGAUCGGGGACAUAAAAAACAAAAUGGAAACAAGAAGAAACAACAUUUUACUUAUUCUCGUAGUUGUUUUUGUAUGAAAAACAUACAUAGACAAAUAAAAAAAAUUAUUCAAAUUCCCUUGUGAGGUUA